rnacentral:rRNA from 1 species
AGUGAACGCUGGCGGUGGGCCUAACACAUGCCAGUCGAACGGCAGCACAGUAAGAGCUUGCUCUUACGGGUGGCGAGUGGCGUACGGGUGAGGAAUACAUCGGACUCUACUUUUUCGUGGGGGCUAACGUAGGGAAACUUACGCUAAUACCGCAUACGACCUACGGGUGAAAGCAGGUGAUCUUCGUACCUUGCGCGAUUGAAUGAGCCGAUGUCGGAUUUGCUAGUUGGCGGGGUAAAGGCCCACCAAGGCGACGAUCCGUAGCUGGUCUGAGAGGAUGAUAAGCCACACUGGAACUGGGACACGGUCCAGACGACUACGGGAGGCAGCAGUGGGGAAUAUUGGACAGUGGGCGCAAGCCUGAUCCAGCCAGACCGCGUGGGUGAAGAAGGCCUUCGGGUUGGAAAGCCCUUUUGUUGGGAAAGAAAAGCAGCAGGUUAAUAACAAGCUGUUCUGACGGUACCCAAAGAAUAAGCAUCGGCUAACUUCGUG